rnacentral:rRNA from 1 species
GUCUACAGCCAUGCCACCCUGAACAUGCCCAAUCUCGUCUGAUCCCGGAAGCUAAGCAGGGUUAGGCCUGGUUAGUACUUGAAUGGGAGACCACCUUGGAAUACCAGGUGCUGUAGGCG